AGAGUUUGAUCAUGGCUCAGGAUGAACGCUGGCGGCAUGCCUAAGACAUGCAAGUCGAACGAGAUGGCCCAUUGAAUAUAAUUGAAAGUUUGCGUGCUUGCACAAUGACCGGAUUUUGUACGAUUUGGAUUUUCCAUCUAGUGGCAAACGGGUGAGUAACACGUGGGUUACCUACCUUCGAGUUGGGGAUAACAGUUGGAAACGAUUGCUAAUACCGAAUACACUCUACGGAGCAAAGGUGCCUUUAAAGCAUCGCUUGAAGAUGGGCCUGCGGCGUAUUAGCUAGUUGGUAGGGUAAUGGCCUACCAAGGCGACGAUGCGUAGCCGAACUGAGAGGUUGAUCGGCCACACUGGGACUGAGACACGGCCCAGACUCCUACGGGAGACAGCAGUUAGGAAUAUUCGUCAAUGGGGGAAACCCUGAACGAGCAAUGCCGCGUGAGUGAUGAAGGCCCUCUGGGUUGUAAAACUCUGUUGUUUGGAAAGAAUUGUAAGAAUAGGAAAUGAUUCUUACUUGACGGUACCAUUCAAGAAAGCCACGGCUAACUACGUGCCAGCAGCCGCGGUAAUACGUAGGUGGCGAGCGUUAUCCGGAUUUAUUGGGCGUAAAGGGUGCGCAGGCGGCUUAUUAAGUCUAAAAUGGAAAGCCCGAAGCUUAACUUCGGUUUUGUUUUAGAAACUGAUUAGCUCGAGUAUGGUAGAGGCAAAUGGAAUUCCUAGUGUAGCGGUGGAAUGCGUAGAUAUAGGAGGAACACCAGUGGCGAAGGGCGGUUUGCUGGGCAUUACUGACGCUCAUGCAC
rnacentral:rRNA from 1 species